rnacentral:rRNA from 1 species
UACGUAGGGGGCAAGCGUUGUCCGGAAUCAUUGGGCGUAAAGCGCGUGUAGGCGGCCCGGUAAGUCCGCUGUGAAAGUCCAGGGCUCAACCCUGGAAUGCCGGUGGAUACUGUCGGGCUCGAGUCCGGAAGAGGCGAGUGGAAUUCCUGGUGUAGCGGUGAAAUGCGCAGAUAUCAGGAGGAACACCAGUGGCGAAAGCGGCUUCCUGGUCCAGCACCGACGUUCAGGCACGAAAGCGUGGGGAGCAAACAGG